AUGCUGGAGUGCAAUGGAAAGAUCAUGACUCACCGCAGCCUCUGCUUCCUGGGCUCAAGCGAUCCUCUCACCUCAGCCUCCCCAGUAGCUGGGACCACAGACACGCACCACCGUGCCUGGCUAAUUAUUUUAUUUUAUUUUUUAUUUUUUUGUAGAGACGGAGUUUCACCAUGUUGCCCAGGCUGGUCUCGAACUUCUGGCCUCAAGUGAUCUGCCUUGACCAGCAAGAGGCAUGAGAAAAUUUCCUGGGAUGCUGGAAACGUGCUCCUUAAUCUGGGUAGUGGUUGCAGGAGUUUACGCAUAUGUAAAAAUUCAUCAAGCUGCAUAUUUAAAAUUAAGAUUGAUGCACUUGACACAAUUAGGGAAGAAAGAGAGAGAGAAAAGGAGACAGGAAGUAAGGAAUAAAGGAAGGAAGGAGGAGGGAGUGGAGGGGAGGAGAGGGAGGAAGAAAAACGAAAGAAGGAGAAAGCAGGCAGGCAAGGAGGGAAGAAGGAAAGAAGAAGAAAGAGGGUGAGAAAAAGAAAAAAGGAAAGACAGAUUGUGCUUAUAGUCACACUGCCUGGAAGCAGAGGCCCAAAUGUGAACUAGGUUAGGGUUGCCAGAUCUAGGAAAUAGAUUCCAGG
rnacentral:lncRNA from 1 species